rnacentral:rRNA from 1 species
AACGAACGCUGGCGGCGCGCCUAAUACAUGCAAGUCGAACGAGAAGGUCGUAGCAAUACACUUGUACAGUGGCGAACGGGUGAGGAAUGCAUGGGCAACCUACCCUCGAGUGGGGAAUAACCAGCCGAAAGGUUGGCUAAUACCGCGUACGCUUCCGGGUCUCCGGAUCCGGAAGGAAAGUCAACACCGUGGGUGUGACGCUCAAGGAUGGGCUCAUGUCCUAUCAGCUUGUUGGGAGGUAACGGCUCACCAAGGCAACGACGGGUAGCUGGUCUGAGAGGACGAUCAGCCACACU